rnacentral:rRNA from 1 species
GCACGGCUACUCCGUGCAGCAGCGCGGUAUACGGAGGGUGCAAGCGUAUCGGAAUACUGGGCGUAAAGCGCACGCAGGCGGUCUGUCAAGUCGGAUGUGAAAUCCCCGGGCUCACCUGGGAACUGCAUUCGAAACUGGCAGGCUAGAGUCUUGUAGAGGGGGGUAGAAUUUCCAGGUGUAGCGGUGAAAUGCGUAGAGAUCUGGAGGAAUACCGGUGGCGAAGGCGGCCCCCUGGACAAAGACUGACGCUCAGGUGCGAAAGCGUGGGGAGCAAACAGGAUUAGAUACCCUGGUAGUCCACGCCGUAAACGAUGUCGAUUUGGAGGUUGUGCCCUUGAGGCGUGGCUUCCGGAGCUAACGCGUUAAAUCGACCGCCUGGGGAGUACGGCCGCAAGGUUAAAACUCAAAUGAAUUGACGGGGGCCCGCACAAGCGGUGGAGCAUGUGGUUUAAUUCGAUGCAACGCGAAGAACCUUACCUGGUCUUGACAUCCACAGAACUUUCCAGAGAUGGAUUGGUGCCUUCGGGAACUGUGAGACAGGUGCUGCAUGGCUGUCGUCAGCUCGUGUUGUGAAAUGUUGGGUUAAGUCCCGCAACGAGCGCAACCCUUAUCCUUUGUUGCCAGCGGUUAGGCCGGGAACUCAAAGGAGACUGCCAGUGAUAAACUGGAGGAAGGUGGGGAUGACGUCAAGUCAUCAUGGCCCUUACGACCAGGGCUACACACGUGCUACAAUGGCGCAUACAAAGAGAAGCGACCUCGCGAGAGCAAGCGGACCUCAUAAAGUGCGUCGUAGUCCGGAUUGGAGUCUGCAACUCGACUCCAUGAAGUCGGAAUCGCUAGUAAUCGUAGAUCAGAAUGCUACGGUGAAUACGUUCCCGGGCCUUGUACACACCGCCCGUCACACCAUGGGAGUGGGUUGCAAAAGAAGUAGGUAGCUUAAC